CCCCUUCAUCUCCACAUUAAGAAAAAAAUCCUAGAACCCCAAAAAAUGAACCAGCCGCAGAACCCAAAAAAAACAUCCCCUUGAACUUCAUCUUCUUCACAACCUAACCUAAGCCAUCAGCACACAGCAAACCUAAGAUCCCAUCAGCCGCAAACUCAAAAAAAUCCCUCUCUCAUUUUCCUCUCAAUAGUGAAAGACAAUAGUAGCUCCUUCCCAUUUAGCCUCAACGCUCGAACUGGUGCCUCGCCGGAAUUGAUCACCAGCGAGUAGCAACGCCACUAGCAGCAGCGAGUCCGUAGAGUAGAAUCGGCAUUUGGAUUUGUGCGUAAAAAUAAGGUCAAAAUCUGUUCAGGUCUAGAUCUGACCAGAAAAGAGAAAUUCUGGUGACCUCCAUUAACGCCGACGAAAUCACGUUUUGUUUCUCGCCGUCGUGAUCACCGUUUUCGACACCCUUACACAAUCCAAACGAUCCUCAAAAUAGCUGCUUCUGCUAUUCUUUUUUCUCAAUUGGAGUCCGACACUUUCUGUCCUUUUGUUUUGAUUUCGAGAUCCUGCUGGAGAUAUCAGCAUUUGAGUUUGUUGCUUGAGGUCAUGUCCGAAGCCCCGUAUGGUGGUUCCGUCGAGGUUUGAGUGUCAUCCGACGAGAUUCCGCUUCAUCGAGGUCCUGUACUGGUUUCUUGUUUGCUCUUGGAUUUACCUACUGUAAAGCUCAAAAGUAAAAUUCUUCAUAAGGUGUGGAUCUACUUACCAAAGCUUGAGCAUGACAGACGCCCAAGGACCCUCUUUGUCAGGACCGUUGCAUCCAGCAGUGUUAUAUUUGAAAACUGAAAAAAAUUAUAAAUGAAAAGCCAAAAGAUUUUGUUUUUAGUUUAUUACAUUUCCAGAACUACACUUGAUCUGAUUCAUAAGGGACAUGAUACGUAGGCAACCUACAUAGAGUUCGAUCGAAUCAUCAUUAAA